rnacentral:tRNA from 2 species
AGGUGUUUAGUUUAAGUAAAAUAUUUGAUUUCGGCUCAAAAGCCUAUGGUUAAACUCCAUAAUCACCCA